rnacentral:rRNA from 1 species
AUUGAACGCUGGCGGCAGGCCUAACACAUGCAAGUCGAGCGGAUGGAGGGAGCUUGCUCCUGGAUUCAGCGGCGGACGGGUGAGUAAUGCCUAGGAAUCUGCCUGGUAGUGGGGGAUAACGUCCGGAAACGGGCGCUAAUACCGCAUACGUCCUGAGGGAGAAAGUGGGGGAUCUUCGGACCUCACGCUAUCAGAUGAGCCUAGGUCGGAUUAGCUAGUUGGUGGGGUAAAGGCCUACCAAGGCGACGAUCCGUAACUGGUCUGAGAGGAUGAUCAGUCACCCUGGAACUGAGACACGGUCCAGACUCCUACGGGAGGCAGCAGUGGGGAAUAUUGGACAAUGGGCGAAAGCCUGAUCCAGCCAUGCCGCGUGUGUGAAGAAGGUCUUCGGAUUGUAAAGCACUUUAAGUUGGGAGGAAGGGCAGUAAGUUAAUACCUUGCUGUUUUGACGUUACCAACAGAAUAAGCACCGGCUAACUUCGUG